rnacentral:rRNA from 1 species
GAUGAACGCUGGCGGCGUGCCUAAUACAUGCAAGUCGAGCGAACAGACGAGGAGCUUGCUCCUCUGACGUUAGCGGCGGACGGGUGAGUAACACGUGGAUAACCUACCUAUAAGACUGGGAUAACUUCGGGAAACCGGAGCUAAUACCGGAUAAUAUAUUGAACCGCAUGGUUCAAUAGUGAAAGACGGUUUUGCUGUCACUUAUAGAUGGAUCCGCGCCGCAUUAGCUAGUUGGUAAGGUAACGGCUUACCAAGGCAACGAUGCGUAGCCGACCUGAGAGGGGGAUCGGCCACACUGGAACUGAGACACGGUCCAGACUCCUACGGGAGGCAGCAGUAGGGAAUCUUCCGCAAUGGGCGGAAGCCUGACGGAGCAACGCCGCGUGAGUGAUGAAGGUCUUCGGAUCGUAAAACUCUGUUAUUAGGGAAGAACAAAUGUGUAAGUAACUAUGCACGUCUUGACGGUACCUAAUCAGAAAGCCACGGCUAACUACGUG